AAACGCUUGAAGUCAGUCGCAUUGGCCAGGGAUCAACCUUGUCUUUUGACCUGGUGUACUUUCUGGCUCAUGGGUCAGCAUCAAUUUUGACCAGUGGAAAAAGAUCAAGGAAAUGUGGCAUCUUUGGAUGCGUUAUAGUCUUUGGUUGCAUACAUUGG
rnacentral:rRNA from 1 species